GAUGAACGCUGGCGGCGUGCCUAAUACAUGCCAGUCGAGCGAACAGACGAGGAGCUUGCUUCUCUGAUGUUAGCGGCGGACGGGUGAGUAACACGUGGAUAACCUACCUAUAAGACUUGGAUAACUUCGGGAAACCGGAGCUACUACCGGAUAAUAUCUUGAACCUCAUGGUUCAAAAGUGAAAGACGGUCUUGCUGUCCCUUAUAGCUGGAUCCGCGCUGCAUUAGCUAGUUGGUAAGAUAACGGCUUAGCAAGGCAACAAUGCAUAGCCGACCUGCGAGGGUGAUCGGCCACACGGGGACUGAGACACGGACCAGAAUCCUGCGAGAGGCCAGAGUAGGACAUGUGGCAGAAUGGGCGAAAGCCGGACGGAGCAAGGCCGCGUGAUGGAGGAAGGUCUUCGGGUCGUAAAACGCUGUUAUGAGGGAAGAACAUAUGUGUAAGGAACUGGGCACAUCUUGACGGUACCUAAUCAGAAAGCCACGGCUAACUACGUG
rnacentral:rRNA from 1 species